UUCUACUGAUUAUACUUUUAUUAACACAUGGACUAUGCACUGACCUAAAUACAAUCAAAACAGUUACAAACAAUCAAGACAUCCACGUUAAAGGGACUAACAUAUAAAGGACAUUAUUCAAUGAGACAAGGGAGGUAACUCUAACAUCAAUGACAUCCGUGUAUUACCUACUAGAUGCCAUCCCCUUCAGUGUCACCGACACACACUACAUUCAGAGGGUACUACAUUCACAACAGUACACAGAGUGGUAGACAUCCCAGCCAAACUAACACCAUCAGGCUGUUGACCACAGACAUGCUGGCGACAUGGAAUGUUGGAAUGUCCCAGACAAGUUUUGUCUAAACCUAAUACAAAUCAUCUUAGAGAUUGCAUUCAUAAACAUAAAACCCAAAAAAAUAAUGGAAUUAAUUGUUUUUUUCAUGAACUGGGACAGUCAUAUUUUCAAGACAGAAUCUCAUGUUUAAUAAAAAAAAAUUAAAAAAACAACAACAACGGAACAUACAUCAAUGUUAGUCCUGUGUCACAAAACACAAACUGUAUCUACAGGGACAUUUCAGUGAAACAUGAGACCCACAGAGCACAAACUAAAAAAAAACAAAAAAAAACACAUAAACUUCAUACAAAAAAAUGAUGAAACUCAAUGGUAAAGAUAUAAAACAAAACAUAUAGUCAAAGUAAAUCAAUCUAUCAACUGUUUGCUAUGUACAGGGGAAAACAUUUUAAAACAUUUAUCAUCUUACUAUAGACGAAGUCAACAUGGACAGGGAGUCCCUUCUUCACACACAGUGACUCCAAUGAUAUGCACACAUAUACACUGAGCCCAAUAGCUUCAGAUAUUAGGAAACACAGCAAAGGUUCUUAAAAUGAGAUCACUGACCCAGUGAUACACAACUAGCCUUGUAGAUUGACUUCAAAGAAAACAAUUUGAACAGAAAUAACACAAGAGUUUGACACAGAUCAACACUACAGGUUAUUGUUAAUCAGAUCAGACGUGCAAUUCUUACUUCACAAAAUGUGUCUCUCUAUUCAAGUCUAGAAAGCUUAUUGAAAAAAAAGUCCAACAAAAUAAAACUUAUAGAAAGUUAUUUUUCAAAAGAAUCAUUCAGUAUCUUCUAAAAAUGCUUGUAUUCAGCACUGUCUUAUCAGAAAAAUGUUUACAAGAAAAACUUCAGACCAAUUAACUAUGUAGUUAACAAACAAUUGAAAUGAUCUCCCUUCCAUUGAGAGAAGACAUUCAUCAAACUAUCAAUAUUUGAUGUGGUCCUGACAAAUCAAUUUUAUCAACUGAUAUAGAGCAUUAGGCUGUCAAGAUUGAUAAGAUCCUAAUCUAAUCCUAUCCUUGAAAUAUAAACAGAUCAUUAGGCUGUCAAGAUUGAUAAGGUCCUAAUCUAAUCCUAUCCUUGAAAUAUAAACAGAUCAUUAGGCUGUCAAGAUUGA